GGAACCUCCAUCCCAUUAUGCCAUCAUUGACUUGAAUUGGGUGGUUCAUUCUAAAGGUUCUAUUUGUAAUGAGUCACACAGCUUGAAUGGGGCGGUUCAUUCUAAAGGUUCUAUUUGUAAUGAGUCACACAGCUUGAAUGGGGCGGUUCAUUCUAAAGGUUAUAUUUGUAAUGAGUCACACAGCUUGAAUGGGGCGGUUCAUUCUAAAGGUUAUAUUUGUAAUGAGUCACACAGCUUGAAUGGGGCGGUUCAUUCUAAAGGUUCUAUUUGUAAUGAGUCACACAGCUUGGCAUAUAGAACACAGCGUGUUAAGUUAUUGUUCUCACUGAACAACCGCACCAACGCUUAAAGUCCAAGGACUACUGUCAUAUGUACAAAAAUCUGGAUUUAUUUUUCUUUAAAAUAGUCUGACAACCAACAUUUAACAUGAGGUUCAGUAUAAACAAAUGAUACACUUGAAAUAAAUCAUAUAUCCUUUGUUUAUCUGUUGGAUUCUCUUCAGAUUUCGGUUUAAAAUAUUUACAAAUGUAGCAUGAAGUGUAAGGGUUUCUCUCUUGGUUUCCCACAAUUAAAUGGAGUCUGUUGUCAUAUACGGUUCAGAACACUGCAGUCAUAAAGAACAGCAUCAAACCAACACUGAGUUUUGUUUGCCAAGGCCUGAUGGGGCAUUCCCUACUUGGGUACAAAGUUACUGUGAGAUGGCCUACUUGGAAGUGAUACAGCUUUUGAAUGAUCUAGUAGUGCCAAAUGACUUGCGAUCUAGCAACAAAUUAUCUGUCUUGAUGUGUUAAUAAAACCAUUCACCUGAGGGAUGUAUUUGAAGGAAACUCCCCCCCUUCCCCCAGAGUCUUUAAAAAGGCUACUUCCUUGAGCGGGCCUCUAUCAGUGUGAACUGCGUUGGGUUUAACUUGCACUACACACAACACACUAUACACACUACACACAAAACGGCACCUUCAGAACAUAUUCACACCUUGACUUUUUCCACAUUUUGUUGUUAGAGCCUGAAAUUUCAAAAUGAUUCAAUUAAGAUUUAAAAAAAAUAAUAAUAAUAAUUGUCACUGGCAAAAUAUCCCAUAAUGUCAAAGUGGAAUGAUGUUUUUUUUAAAUGAAUUACACAUGAAAAGCUGAAAUGUCUUUAGUUAAAUAUGUAUUCAACCCUGUUGUUAUGGAAACGCCUAAAUAUGUUCCGGAGUAAAAAUGUGCUUAAGUCACAUAACAUAAUUCUUUCUUAAAUGACUACCUCAUCUCUGUACCUCUGUACCCCAUAUACCCCACAUAUACACAUAACCAAACAGAUUCAAUCACAAAGACCAGGGAGGUUUUUCAAUGCCUCAAACAGCACCUAUUGGUAGAUGUUUUUUUUAUUUUUUAACUCAGACAUUGAAUAUCCGUUUGAGUAUGGUGGAGUUGUUAAAAUACACUUUAGAUGGUGUAUCAAUACAUCCAGUCACUACAAAGAUACAGGUGUACCUCCUAACUCAGUUGCCGGAGAGGAAGGAAACUGCUCAGGGAUUUCACUAUGAGGCCAAUGGUGACUUUAAAAACAGUUACAGAGUUUAAUGGCUGUAAUAGGAGAAAACUGAGGAUGGGUCAACAACAUUGUUGUUACUCCACAAAACUAACCUAAUUGACAGAAUGAAAAUAACUGUUUGUCUGGAAUACAAAGUGAUAUGUUCGGGAUAAACUCUCCAGAUUUUCAAGCAAAGUGGUUGCUGCAUCAUGUUAUGUGUAUGCUUGUAAUCAUUAAGGAUUGUGGAGUUUUUCAGGAUAAAAAAAUAAAUGGAAUCGAGCUAAGCACAGACAAAAUCCUAGAGGAAAACCUUGUUCAGUCUGCUUUCCACUAGACACUGGGAGAUGAAUUCACCUUUCAGCAGAAUAAUAACAUAAACACAAGGCCAAAUCUAAACUGGAGUUGCUUACCAAGCCACAGUGAAUGUUCUUGAGUGGCCGAGUUACAGUUUUGACUUAAAUCUACGGCAAGACUUGAAAAUGGUUGUCUAGCAAGAAUGACAGAGCUUGAAGAAUUUUAAAAAGAAUAAUGGGCAAAUGUUGCACAAUCCAGGUGUGGAAAGCUCUUAGAGAUUUACACAGAGAGGUGCCAACGGUGCUUCUACAAAGUAUUGACUCAGGUGUGUGAAUACUUAUGUAAAAAAAAAAAAACGUGUUUUUACUUUGUCAUUAUGGAAUAUUGUGACAUUCUAAUUUUGUGUGUACAUAGGUUAGAAAAAAAUUAAAGUUAAUUUAAUACAUUUUCAAGUAAGGUUGUAACAACAACAUACGAGAGAGAGAGAGAGAGAGAGACAGACAGAGAGAGGGACACAUUGAGAGAGAGGGAGAGAGACAGAGAGAGUGAGAGAGAGGGAGAGACAGAGAGAGAGGGACACAUUGAGAGACAGAGAGAGAGAGAGACACAUUGAGAGAGAGAGAGAGAGAGAGACAGAGACAGAGGGAGAGGGAGAGAGAGAGACAGAGAGGGAGA
ensembl:lncRNA